rnacentral:rRNA from 1 species
CCCUUAGAUGUCCGGGGCUGCACGCGCGCUACACUGAAGGAAUCAGCGUGCUAAAACCAUUGUCGAAAGGCAUUGGUAAACCCAUUAAAAUCCUACGUGAUUGGGAUCGGGAAUUGCAAUUAUUUCCCUUGAACGAGGAAUUCCCAGUAAGUGCGGGUCAUAAGCUCGCGUUGAUUACGUCCCUGCCCUUUGUACACACCGCCCGUCGCUGCCCGGGACUGAGCCGUUUCGAGAAAAGCGGGGACUGCUGCUGUCGGGGCUUUCGGGCCUUGGCUUCGGUGGAAACCGCUUUAAUCGCAGUGGCUUGAACCGGGCAAAAGUCGUANCA